UUCCAGUCUUCCACCUGAGAGUCGGACUCGGACUCUCGGAGCCAGCCAGGCAUGAGGAAAUGGUGGCGCCGUCCGUACGCCUCCGCCGCCUUCCACCGCCGCCACCGCAUCUAUGCAAUACAAAUCCAAAUCCUCGGAUCCAAUCUCAAAUCAUCCGCGAAGCAAUUCUCUCGGCAACCUAGAUCGCCCGCAUCGCGUUCAAUUCUUCCCAGCAACCACCGCAAAGGAGAGCCUUGCUCCCAGCAACCACAGCAGAUCCGGCGAACGAGAUGCUCUGCCUCCCCUCCUCCUCCGCGUUCCGGCCGGCCGAUCCGGCGGCGCGUGGCGCCAUGGCUUCGCAGCAGCAGCGCCAGAGCUUUCCUCACGCCUCCACUGCAGCUCGAGGCAUGCUCAGCUUCUCCUCCGCCGCACCGUCCGGGCCGGCAGAUCCUGUGGCGCAGCAGCAGGACUUCCGCAUGCGGGAGUUCGACUACUUCGUCGUCGUCGACUUCGAGGCUACCUGUGAGAAGGAUUCGCGCAUUUACCCGCAGGAAAUCAUCGAAUUUCCUGCGGUCCUCGUCGACGCCGCCACCGGCGGCCUGCUCUCCUCGUUCCGCACCUAUGUGAAGCCGCGGCACCACCCGGUCCUCACCGCUUUCUGCUCCGAGCUGACGGGGAUUCAGCAAGAGCAGGUCAACGGCGGCGUGGAUCUUGCAACGGCGCUGGCCUUGCACGACAAGUGGCUGGCGGCGGCGGGCGUCGCCAAGAACCGUCUCGCCAUCGUCACCUGGGGUGAUUGGGACUGCCGGACGAUGCUGAAGUUCGAAUGCAAUUUCAAGAACAUCUCCAAGCCAUCGUAUUUCAACCAGUGGGUUAACCUCCGGAUCCCCUUCGAGACCGCGUUUGGCGCUGGGCGGCGCAACCUGCAAGAAGCUGUCCGGGAGGCGGGUCUGCAGUGGGAUGGCCGCCUCCACUGCGGGCUCGACGACGCCCGCAACACAGCGCGUCUCCUUGUCGAGCUGAUGCGGCGGGGAGUCCGUAUCUCCAUAACCGGCUCUCUGGUGCCACCGCCUCUGCCAGAGCCGGAGCCGGAGCCGGAGCCGGAACUCCAACCUCAGCGUUCCUAUCAGAGGAGGCGUGGUGACCAUGCCGGGACCAAUGCAAGGGCGAUUCUUUUUCACUUGUGGGAACUGGAUGCCGACAUGUCGUUUCUUCCACUGGGCAGCCUGAUUGCCGGCCAUCUGGACUCCGUAUCAUCGAUGACUAAGGACCUGGAAGGUUUUUCCUCAUGCUGGACACAACUGCAGCUGAGAGUUAGAGCAUGUUUGGUUUCUGCGCGGGGCCGACGGAAAAGGGCGCGAGAACUACAGAAAUGGCAUGAGGCUGGCGGAAAAGCGCACAAAGACAAGAGAAACGGCGCAACGGAGAUGAUCGCUGGAAGGGACGACCUGUUCUGCUCUUUGAUCUUGUAUCCAGCCAGUUUAAAUUGUAUUAUGUAGUACCGAGAUGGAAGAAGAGGCUAACACAGAGCGCCAUGAUUCCAAUAUAGCUAUACUGCCUGGAUUGGUAGCUCAUGUUGGCAUGAAAUUUAGAAAUUCUGAUGAGGCUUGGGCAUUUUGGCUUAGCCAUGGCGGGCAGAAAGGAUUUGAGGACAGAAAAAGGUAUUCAAACAGUGAGAUGAGGACUACAAGAAGUCAUGGGUGUGAGAACCUUCUUAUUUGGACGCUACCAGUACUUAGGAAAGGAAAUUCCAGAGCAAGUGCUAAGGCUCCUAUCAGCUGCCCAAGCAAUGGUGAGUAUGUAAGCCCUUUACUACUACUACACCAUCCACUUUAUAUUGCAAGUUCACCAUGUCUGUAAUUACUAAUUUCAACUAUCUGGUAUUCAGAAUGGCACAUUGCAGCAGUGAGAAGUGGCCUUUUGUUGAGUCUUGCAUAGGUAGUAGAGUUAAUUUGCAUUAGUUUAGUUUGUUGGAUCUUAUGGUAAGGUAGACAUUUGCAUUAGUUAUUUGAGAUAGGUGCUGAGAUUUUGAGUUUCAUAGAACUGGUUAUUUGAGAAAGGUUUCAUCAGUCCCAAAUAAUAUAAGCAUCAAAUUCAGAGCCGCUUUGAGGUUUAGCAUGAUCGGUAUAUUCAAUGGUUCGCAACUGGAAGUAUUUUGCUACCUGUUGGAUUGCUCAAUGCUGCAUGUAUAUCAUGGUUAUUAGAGGGUUGCAUGGUUGUUGCUCAAACUGAGACAGCAAAAGAAUAUCUUUUUUCCAUCUGUCAACAAGUUAAAUACGGAUGACAUAUACUGAUUAAAUUGGAAUAUAGUAAAGGUUGAAGAAAUUGCUACCUCCUUCCUUUUGAUUUAACACACUGUACCGUUUUUUUUCAGUCCUUAUGUUAACACAAGUUGGAUUAACUAGCAGGCUGCAAUGGGCUAAUUUACCCAGCUGAUCUAUCCAAUUAACUGAAAAACUGAUAACUUCCUCUUGCAUGUUGAGUUUAAAGUAUUAUUUUCCUGCUGCAAUGAUGAGUGAUAGUCUUUGCAUUCCAGUUCUUAGAAAGUUUGAUGUAAGAUUGCAUGCAGAAAAGACACACACUUCAUUUUUUUAUCAUUGAUGGUCUAACACUGCAUGCUUGCUUUGAUUACCACGUCGACUGGUAGUGGCCAGUUGCCUGUUCGUUGCAGCAUUGCUGCAGGAUGGACGCCAGUGGCGUGGCCUGUUCACGUCCAGGUUUGCUCGCGUCCAUGGGAAAAAGGUAGGAAACCCCAACUGAUGUCUGCUUCCUUCUACUUAUAUUAAUUAAUGGGAACAUAUCCAGUAGAAACCACACCCUUCAUGAAAACCUGUGCAAACCAAAAUAAAAAUUCGUCUAAAUUCACAAAAAAAAUCACACAUGUAGAUGAUAUAUGAUGAUACACAUCCUUGUAAAAUAUCUUGUCCAAACUCGACUUCGUUUGUGAGAUAUAAAAAUAAAAGAUUCUAAUAAAUCAUUUGGACAACUUUCAGCCUUGGUAUUUGUUAUUUUUAUAUCUCACAAACGAAGUCGAGUUUGGACAAGAUAUUUUACAAGAUUGUUCAUCAUCAUAUUAUCUAUACGUGUGAUUUUAUUGGUGAAUUUAUAUGACUUUUUUACGUGGUUUGCACAGGUUUUCAUGAAGGGUGUGGUUUCUACUAGAUAUGUUCCCUUAAUUAUUUUUGUUCCUUCCAAGCAUUGAAGUGUUCAAGUGAAAUUGCAAGUUAGAUGAAAAUUUAAGCUUAGUGGGACUUAGUUGUGAUGUUUCUUUAACAUCUGUGAUAAUAUGUAAUUGAAAUUUGAAUCAUCUAUGAUUGACAAGUAAUUGAUGGAACAAUUUAUAAGAGGGCGCUGCUGAUAGUGACAACAAUGAAUUCAUGUCUAGAGGAAAUGAAGAAUGACGUUCUUUUUUUUUUUGAGGGAAAUGCAGUAGGGGAAUCCCCUACUGUGGUAUUUUAUUUCAUAUAAAAUAAAUAAAUAAAAAGAGGUACAGUAGCAUCCUGGAGUGCUAAAUCACAAAAAGGCCAAUUGAAGGAGAUAAGAGAGAGGUCAGAGAAAAAACUUUACAGAAGGCUAUUCAGCCAGAUGGAUACAUUGUGACUAAAAGAAAAGGACUAAAUCUGUGCAAGUGAAUCUUUACAGUAUCCACAAAGCAAAUUUUCCAAUAUCUGAAUGAACCCUGAGUUCCUCUGAAGGUUUGUGCAUUUCUCUGUUUCCAAAUUUCCCAUGCUGAGAUAAUGAAGAUCUCCAUGAAAAAUUGGUGCUGACAUUUCAUCUUAGCUUUUUUUUUAAAUGUAGCAAAGAAUCUGAUAGGGUGAUCCGAUGAUGUACCAACAAAGUUCCAGCAUCUACUGCUGAAAGGACAUUCAAAGAACAGGUGAUAUGUGGUUUCCUCUAGAUUUAGGUUGCAUAGUACACAGUUAUAAUUGUCCCCAUCAAUCUUGUAGUUUCUUCUUCUGUGUAAGCUUCUGGAAUUCAGUCUAUCUUUGAAGAUUAGCCACAUGAAGAUUUUUAGCUUUUUGGUCACUUUAGCUUUCCAGGUAAUACAUUCUUGAAGAGUAAUUUCCAUUCUCGCAACAGUAUUGCCAACUGUCUGUUUCAUUGCUUUACUGCUGUAUUUGUUCAACUUUGCUUUGCAAAAUUUGCAGUUCCUCCAAUGCCUGCUGGGAUAGUGGUAUAUGAAAGUGUGUCUGUGGAGUGCUAUCUGCCAGAAACUGAGCGAGAGAUACAUUUCAUUUUUUUUUGCAAAGGAGAAUAAUCUUGGUUGUUGGUCCCUAAGAUAAAAUCCAUUCCAGGCAUCAUUCCACAUCCAUGUUGCCAGUUGGACGCUUUGAUUUCCCUAUUGCGACCAUCUUUUAUCUAUGAUCUUUACUAGCAAUAUUAUUAGUGGGCUUAUUAGUUUGGUAAAAAUGGCCAGGUGAAUUGUUAUUUAGACAAUGUUGCGUUAAGACUAUAUAUUGUUAUGUUUGCGAUAAAGUACCAUACCCUUCCUGGCUAAUUUGGAACCUCUUUAUUUCUUUUCACGAAAUCAAGGAGCAUUAGUCACUAACGAUUAACCUACAUAUAUUAAUAUGAGAUGUUUGGUCAUAAUUGCCAGUGGGUUCUCUGCAUGGAGAAUCUGUAGUAAAUGAAAUUUCUGGAGCAGGCAUAGGUCACUGCAGAUAUCCAUGUGUUUUCUCUCUCAAUAUUCAUGUAUACCUUGGUUGCAGUGUCUGGAGGCUUUUUAACUUGGCUUAGGAGAUGAGGGAAAAUAAAUUUCUGUUUAUUUAUUUAGGACUGACAUGGUAAUGGUCUUUUUUGUAUAUGCACAACAAAUUCCAUACUAUCUCAGUUUUUUUUUCCAAGGCUCUUUUCAUAAGCCUAAUUUUGAAGUACUCAUAUAGUGGUCAUUGAUGUUUUUUCUUUUCUGUUUAGAGCUUUUUUACAAUGCUUUUAAACUACCAAUGGUACUUGCAGGUACUUUCCUUUCUUAUCCUUCUUAUCAAAAAAGAAUGAAAUAAUGAAAUAGAUUUACAUAUAAUUAAAAGGGUAUCAUAGUAAUUUCUUACUAUUUUUGAUACUUGUUCCACCAAACUGGUACUUCUUGAUACUUCUCUUUAGGUACUUCAUGAUACUUCCUUUGUUUCCACUAUUCGAUUUCGCGGGAUGGACGGCUCUCAUUUUUUUCAAGCAUUCUAAAAUUUCUAUUCUGUUUAUCAUAUCAACUGAUAUGGGUUCCACACGCAUGUUGGUUUUAUAAUGACAGCAAGGAGAGCAGAAGGAGAUGUUUGAGCAAUAGGAAAAUGAUAAGGAAGAUCUUGAGGUACUAUUAUCUUGGGACAACUUGUUAUAGAUUUCUUGGGAAAAAAAAUCUUGGGCUGACAAUUGCUUACAUUAGGGAAUACUGGUUUCGGAUUGAUUUUGUGCAAAAGGUUCUUGGUCUGUGAUGUUAAUUAGUCUUCAAUAUCCAGAUGGUUUUACCAUUGUUUAUAUGAGUUCCAGAAUUAUCAUCUUCAGUUCAUUGUGACUGGGUUCGGUUGCCAUUGCACCGAUAUCUUGACCACCAAUAUUUAGCUUCCAGUGAUGCACUGAUGUGCCACCUGAAUGUCUGUACGAAUGUCUUCGCUACCUGAAAAAUAGCUGUGAUGAUUUAACAAUGCA